CAGAAAAUAGUUUAAAUAAAAUUUUAAUUUUGGAGAUUAAAGAUAAAAAGUAAUUUUUUUUUUCUGA
rnacentral:tRNA from 1 species